rnacentral:rRNA from 1 species
GACGAACGCUGGCGGCGUGCCUAAUACAUGCAAGUCGAACGAAGCUGUUUUAACUGGUGCUUGCACCGACUUAAACAACUGAGUGGCGAACGGGUGAGUAACACGUGGGUAACCUGCCCCAAAGCGGGGGAUAACAUUUGGAAACAGAUGCUAAUACCGCAUAACCACAGAAACCACAUGGUUUCUGUGUCAAAGAUGGUUUCGGCUAUCACUUUGGGAUGGACCCGCGGCGUAUUAGCUAGUUGGUAAGGUAAUGGCUUACAAAGGCAAUGAUACGUAGCCGAACUGAGAGGUUCAUCGGCCACAUGGGGACUGAGACACGGCCCAAACUCCUACGGGAGGCAGCAGUAGGGAAUCUUCCACAAUGGACGAAAGUCUGAUGGAGCAACGCCGCGUGAGUGAAGAAGGUUUUCGGAUCGUAAAACUCUGUUGUCGGAGAAGAACGUGUGCGAGAGUAACUGUUCGUGCAGUGACGGUAUCUGGCCAGAAAGCCACGGCUAACUACGUGCCAGCCGCCGCGGUAA